rnacentral:rRNA from 1 species
AUUGAACGCUGGCGGCAUGCUUUACACAUGCAAGUCGAACGGUAACAGGCCUUCGGGUGCUGACGAGUGGCGAACGGGAGCGUAAUGCAACGGAACGUAUCCAGAGGUGGGUGAUAACGCAGCACAAGCUGUGCUAAUAGCUCAUGUGACCUGAGGAUGAAAGCGGGGGACCGUGCAUCAAUGUUUGGCCUUGCGCCUUUGGCGAGGUCGAUGUCGGGUUGGCUAGUUGGUAGGGUAAGGGCCUACUAAGGGGACGAUCCGUAGCUAGUCUGAGAGGACGACCGGCCACACGGGGACUGGAACACGGCCAGAACUCCUACGGGAGGCACAAGUGGGGAAUUUUGGACAAGGGGGGCAAGCCGGAUCCAGCAAGGCCGCGGGCGGGAAGAAGGCCUUCGGGUUGUAAACCGUGUUUGGCAGGAACGAAACGUGGUCCGCUAAUACCGGGCGCUAAUGACGGUACCUGCAGAAUAAGCACCGGCUAACUACGUG